rnacentral:rRNA from 1 species
GACGAACGCUGGCGGCGUGCUUAACACAUGCAAGUCGAACGGAAAGGCCCUGCUUUUGUGGGGUGCUCGAGUGGCGAACGGGUGAGUAACACGUGAGUAACCUGCCCUUGACUUUGGGAUAACUUCAGGAAACUGGGGCUAAUACCGGAUAGGAGCUCCUGCUGCAUGGUGGGGGUUGGAAAGUUUCGGCGGUUGGGGAUGGACUCGCGGCUUAUCAGCUUGUUGGUGGGGUAGUGGCUUACCAAGGCUUUGACGGGUAGCCGGCCUGAGAGGGUGACCGGCCACAUUGGGACUGAGAUACGGCCCAGACUCCUACGGGAGGCAGCAGUGGGGGAUAUUGCACAAUGGGCGGAAGCCUGAUGCAGCAACGCCGCGUGCGGGAUGACGGCCUUCGGGUUGUAAACCGCUUCCGCCUGUGACGAAGCGUGAGUGACGGUAAUGGGUAAAGAAGCACCGGCUAACUACGUG